GCCGGAAGCGGUGCUCCUAUUGGCUCGUAGCUCGCGUUCCUAACGGUGGGGGAGAGACGAGACGCGCCUCAACGUCGUCCUGGGACCGUGUUCCGACCAGGAGAGACAGCACGAGGAAGCCCGGAAAGGGCGAGAGACUGGCGAUCUCGGAGAGCAAAGAACUGGUCCUCCUCGACCUAUCCAUCUUCGAGUAACGAAGAUCGAAACAUUGGCUGCGGUACUUUGAGAACAGAUGCACGACGCGUGGACUUGAGAAGAGUUGACGUUUCGUUUUCAUUCGCAUCGACGACCUUUCUUUCGCUCGGUGGCUCCCUCGUCGAUUGCCGGAGAAAGGGAAAAAAUGCAACGGAGGAGGGCGUAUAGGGACGUUAAUUCUGGUGGAAGAGGCAUAAAGCUCUGAAUCACCGGUGAACCGGUAUCACCGUAUACCGAACGCGAUGUCUGUUCUGCGAACGCGGAAACCACGAGGAGCCAGCAGCCUCGCGCGGCUCACGGAAGGAUUCCUUUCUCCUCCUUCGUUGUCGUUCAUCCUCCUACUCUUUCACUCUUUUUCUCUUUUCCUCGUUCUCUUCCACGUACACAGAGAUUAUCUUCAUCCUCUUUGUGGCGCUUUUCUCUUUAGCCAACACGCAGAUGCUGCGUUCAUUCACGGUCGCUUCCGAGGCAUCCUUCGGCCGCUGUUUGCCCGGUCGCGCACAAUGCAAUAAUUAUUAUUGGAUUUGUGCAAAAAUUAUAGUGGUUUCUUUCAAAGUUAAAUUUCUGCGCAAGAAAGUAUUAUUGGAGACGUUUAUUUUGAAAUUGGUUUGCCAGUUUUUUGUUUUUAAAUUUAGAUGUUUAAGGAUAUGGUUCUUAAUCUUUAGCUUUAAAUGACCAUGCUAUACUUACGAGAAAUUACUCGUAGAUUCGUCUAUGUUAAAUUUCCGUGA